AUUGAACGCUGGCGGCAGGCCUAACACAUGCAAGUCGAGCGAGCGGCGGACGGGUGAGUAAUGCUUGGGAAUCUAGCUUAUGGAGGGGGAUAACUACGGGAAACUGUAGCUAAUACCGCAUACUAUCGGAUGAACCCAUAUGGGAUUAGCUAGUAGGUGGGGUAAAGGCUCACCUAGGCGACGAUCUCUAGCUGGUCUGAGAGGAUGAUCAGCCACACUGGGACUGAGACACGGCCCAGACUCCUACGGGAGGCAGCAGUGGGGAAUAUUGCACAAUGGGCGCAAGCCUGAUGCAGCCAUGCCGCGUGUAUGAAGAAGGCCUUCGGGUUGUAAAGCACUUUCAGCGAGGAGGCGUUACUCGCAGAAGAAGCACCGGCUAACUCCGUGCCAGCCGCCGCGGUAAUAC
rnacentral:rRNA from 1 species